rnacentral:rRNA from 1 species
CUACGGGUGGCUGCAGUGGGGAAUAUUGCACAAUGGGCGAAAGCCUGAUGCAGCAACGCCGCGUGAGGGACGACGGCCUUCGGGUUGUAAACCUCUUUUAGCAGGGAAGAAGCGAAAGUGACGGUACCUGCGGAAAAAGCACCGGCUAACUACGUGCCAGCAGCCGCGGUAAUACGUAGGGUGCAAGCGUUGUCCGGAAUUAUUGGGCGUAAAGAGCUCGUAGGCGGUUUGUCGCGUCUGCUGUGAAAAUCCGAGGCUCAACCUCGGACCUGCAGUGGGUACGGGCAAACUAGAGUGCGGUAGGGGAGAUUGGAAUUCCUGGUGUAGCGGUGGAAUGCGCAGAUAUCAGGAGGAACACCAAUGGCGAAGGCAGAUCUCUGGGCCGUAACUGACGCUGAGGAGCGAAAGCGUGGGGAGCGAACAGGAUUAGAUACCCGUGUAGUC